rnacentral:rRNA from 1 species
UACGGAGGGAGCUAGCGUUGUUCGGAAUUACUGGGCGUAAAGCGCGCGUAGGCGGCUUUGUAAGUUAGAGGUGAAAGCCCGGGGCUCAACCCCGGAAUUGCCUUUAAGACUGCAUCGCUUGAAUCCGGGAGAGGUGAGUGGAAUUCCGAGUGUAGAGGUGAAAUUCGUAGAUAUUCGGAAGAACACCAGUGGCGAAGGCGGCUCACUGGACCGGCAUUGACGCUGAGGUGCGAAAGCAUGGGGAGCAAACAGG